CGAACUCUGGUAUUGAUUGGUGCUUGCAUCAUGAUUUACAUUUGAGUGAGUGGCGAACUGGUGAGUAACACGUGGGAAACCUGCCCAGAAGCGGGGGAUAACACCUGGAAACAGAUGCUAAUACCGCAUAACAACUUGGACCGCAUGGUCCGAGUUUGAAAGAUGGCUUCGGCUAUCACUUUUGGAUGGUCCCGCGGCGUAUUAGCUAGAUGGUGAGGUAACGGCUCACCAUGGCAAUGAUACGUAGCCGACCUGAGAGGGUAAUCGGCCACAUUGGGACUGAGACACGGCCCAAACUCCUACGGGAGGCAGCAGUAGGGAAUCUUCCACAAUGGACGAAAGUCUGAUGGAGCAACGCCGCGUGAGUGAAGAAGGGUUUCGGCUCGUAAAACUCUGUUGUUAAAGAAGAACAUAUCUGAGAGUAACUGUUCAGGUAUUGACGGUAUUUAACCAGAAAGCCACGGCUAACUACGUGCCAGCAGCCGCGGUAAUACGUAGGUGGCAAGCGUUGUCCGGAUUUAUUGGGCGUAAAGCGAGCGCAGGCGGUUUUUUAAGUCUGAUGUGAAAGCCUUCGGCUCAACCGAAGAAGUGCAUCGGAAACUGGGAAACUUGAGUGCAGAAGAGGACAGUGGAACUCCAUGUGUAGCGGUGAAAUGCGUAGAUAUAUGGAAGAACACCAGUGGCGAAGGCGGCUGUCUGGUCUGUAACUGACGCUGAGGCUCGAAAGUAUGGGUAGCAAACAGGAUUAGAUACCCUGGUAGUCCAUACCGUAAACGAUGAAUGCUAAGUGUUGGAGGGUUUCCGCCCUUCAGUGCUGCAGCUAACGCAUUAAGCAUUCCGCCUGGGGAGUACGGCCGCAAGGCUGAAACUCAAAGGAAUUGACGGGGGCCCGCACAAGCGGUGGAGCAUGUGGUUUAAUUCGAAGCUACGCGAAGAACCUUACCAGGUCUUGACAUACUAUGCAAAUCUAAGAGAUUAGACGUUCCCUUCGGGGACAUGGAUACAGGUGGUGCAUGGUUGUCGUCAGCUCGUGUCGUGAGAUGUUGGGUUAAGUCCCGCAACGAGCGCAACCCUUAUUAUCAGUUGCCAGCAUUAAGUUGGGCACUCUGGUGAGACUGCCGGUGACAAACCGGAGGAAGGUGGGGAUGACGUCAAAUCAUCAUGCCCCUUAUGACCUGGGCUACACACGUGCUACAAUGGAUGGUACAACGAGUUGCGAACUCGCGAGAGUAAGCUAAUCUCUUAAAGCCAUUCUCAGUUCGGAUUGUAGGCUGCAACUCGCCUACAUGAAGUCGGAAUCGCUAGUAAUCGCGGAUCAGCAUGCCGCGGUGAAUACGUUCCCGGGCCUUGUACACACCGCCCGUCACACCAUGAGAGUUUGUAACACCCAAAGUCGGUGGG
rnacentral:rRNA from 2 species